AUUUCCUUCUAUUUUUUUAUUUAUAGUUGUACGAAGAAGGAAAUAUUGGACGAAUUAAAUCAGUCGACUUGUCAACGGAUGACAGACGACAGCUGGUCAAGUAUAUAGUGAUCGCCUUUGUUACGCAAAUACGUCUUGCAUACGAAAUUGCGCUCUUAUGUAAUGAUACUUUGAUAGAACCUGUAAAAACAUCGCUAACGGGAUUCAGUCAGAACUUCGUAAAGUUUCGAGUUUUGCCAAUUUAAAAUGUCACAACGCCAUGAUUUGCAUUUUAUAUCAAUUGGAAUAAUCGGAUGUUUUGGAAAUGACGAUGAUACUGCAAAUUAGUCACUGGUCAAAGCUGCAUAUGGUGCUGUCGAGUCUUUUCAUUUUCCCAAGAAGAAUCGAUUCACAGCUCAAUUAAUCCCACACAUCUACAAAAAAUGGGGAUUUUCAGUAGAUGGAAUUAUAAAUUAGAAGUGUACAAUAAUAAGCAACAGAUUCGAUUAACAAAUGUACUGAUUAACCACAACUACAAAAGUGGAGAAACCGCGGUAAAAUUGCGACCUAUCUUGCGAAAUAUUGCGAAGCUGUUAUCUACUUAUCUAUUCACGAGUAUGAUAUGCAAGACCUUCUUGGAAUUUCCAAGUUACAUCCGAGAAUCAAGAGCUUAAAAAUUCCAAUUUUUAAAAUCAAGAGAACUCGUUCGUGAAUAUAUCCCUUUCACCUGUGAAUUUAAUGUGUACACAACGUAGAGGUGACUUCGGACAUCUAAUCUAGCAAGCUGAGCUGGCAAUAAAAUAAGCAAGUUUGCAUAAAACGAUCGACGCCAUUGUCUGCGUUCUAUCUAUUCUUAGCACUUUAAAUUGAUGAAAUGACACACUUUUUUAAUUGCAUUUUAGUCGCAUGCAUUAAUGAUGAUUGGGAAAGCUUUUCGAGAUCGUAUAUAAGGAAAAGCAAUUUCUCCAAUUGAAAGGAGAUAUUUUUACUUUUUAAUACUUGAAAUAUAGCUUUGAAAUUACAA